CUACAAUGAUGGCAAUAAAUUUUGUCAACAAUGGUCCACCUAACUUUGGAUCUGACUGA
rnacentral:snoRNA from 1 species